GGAGAGGUGCCGGAGUGGUUGAUCGGGGCGGUCUCGAAAACCGUUUUCGCUGUAUGGCGAACGGGGGUUCGAAUCCCCCCCUCUCCG
rnacentral:tRNA from 1 species